AGGAGGCAAAGGCAAGUGGAUCUCUGAGUUCAAGACCAGCCAGGUCAACAUGAAUAUCUCACUGAAACCUGGAACCCGGCUGAAGACCAAUACCUCAGCAUCCUCCUGUCUCUACCUAUCCCACUGCUACAGUUACAGCAAAAAGAAAUGAAAAUCAAAACAAACAACAAACAAUGAAUCCAUCAAACGACAGCAAAACAAAAUGAAAAGCUCGCAAAAAGAGACUGAGUUUGCUCUGUGUUGGUCAAAUACUCCUGGGCCUGAAUGUAGAGGCCUGCCCUAGAGUGUGAAUGGCAUGUCCAGCGUCACUCCUCUGAAGACAACUGGUUUCCCUUCCCCAGCAGGGACGACUUCUCUUUUUUCUCUCUGAGGCCUCCUCUCCUCUCUGCUUCUAUUCACUGCCUGGAACCAAACAGGCCAGGAGACCUGCAGGAGAAGCGGAUACGGGGCGCUGGGGAAAGAUGCCUCCCACAAACAAGUCUCUUCCUGUCCUUCAGCAAACUAUCAACUAUGAAAUAGACUGACCAAGAUUGGGACCCAUGAUGAACACGUACAGUUCUCGGUGCUGGGAGCACAAGGGCAGAUUUGGGUUGCUGUUUUUCUUAAUAAAUUCAGUUACUCUG